rfam:Felis catus isolate Cinnamon breed Abyssinian chromosome A2, whole genome shotgun sequence.
GCCUGGGUGGCUCAGCCAGUUGGGCAUCUGACUUCGGCUCAGGUCAUGAUCUCACGGCUCAUGGGUUCGAGCCCCACAUCGGGCU